GGCACCAAGAACAAGAAGAAGUACACUGAUCGUGAGAAGAAGAAGUACCGCAAGAAGGCCAAAGCACGCGCCUUCAUCACCUCUCUCAGCGACAUCGACUCCGACACCGACGACCACACCAACUCAAGCUCAAGUGAAGAGGAGGACGACCGCAAGGCAAAGAAGAAGGAUGGCAAGAAAUUCAACGGCCUUUGCUUCUACUCCGGCAAGAAUCGCGACAGGUAUUGUGUUAUGGCCCUCAACACCGAC
rnacentral:lncRNA from 1 species